rnacentral:rRNA from 1 species
ACCAAGGCGACGAUCAGUAGCGGGUCUGAGAGGAUGAUCCGCCACACUGGAACUGAGACACGGUCCAGACUCCUACGGGAGGCAGCAGUGGGGAAUUUUGGACAAUGGGGGCAACCCUGAUCCAGCCAUUCCGCGUGAGUGAAGAAGGCCUUCGGGUUGUAAAGCUCUUUCAGCCGGAACGAAACGGUACGCUCUAACAUAGCGUGCUAAUGACGGUACCGGCAGAAGAAGCACCGGCUAACUACGUGCCAGCAGCCGCGGUAAUACGUAGGGUGCGAGCGUUAAUCGGAAUUACUGGGCGUAAAGCGUGCGCAGGCGGAUUGUUAAGCAAGAUGUGAAAUCCCCGGGCUUAACCUGGGAAUGGCAUUUUGAACUGGCAGUCUAGAGUGUGUCAGAGGGGGGUGGAAUUCCACGUGUAGCAGUGAAAUGCGUAGAUAUGUGGAGGAACACCAAUGGCGAAGGCAGCCCCCUGGGAUAACACUGACGCUCAUGUACGAAAGCGUGGGUAGCAAACAGGAUUAGAUACCCUGGUAGUCCACGCCCUAAACGAUGUCAACUGGUUGUUGGGGGAGUGAAAUCCCUUAGUAACGAAGCUAACGCGUGAAGUUGACCGCCUGGGGAGUACGGUCGCAAGAUUAAAACUCAAAGGAAUUGACGGGGACCCGCACAAGCGGUGGAUGAUGUGGAUUAAUUCGAUGCAACGCGAAAAACCUUACCUACCCUUGACAUGUCCAGAACCCUGCAGAGAUGCGGGGGUGCCCGAAAGGGAAUUGGAACACAGGUGCUGCAUGGCUGUCGUCAGCUCGUGUCGUGAGAUGUUGGGUUAAGUCCCGCAACGAGCGCAACCCUUAUCAUUAGUUGCUACGCAAGGGCACUCUAAUGAGACUGCCGGUGACAAACCGGAGGAAGGUGGGGAUGACGUCAAGUCCUCAUGGCCCUUAUGGGUAGGGCUUCACACGUCAUACAAUGGUCGGUACAGAGGGUUGCCAAGCCGCGAGGUGGAGCCAAUCCCAGAAAGCCGAUCGUAGUCCGGAUUGUUCUCUGCAACUCGAGAGCAUGAAGUCGGAAUCGCUAGUAAUCGCGGAUCAGCAUGUCGCGGUGAAUACGUUCCCGGGUCUUGUACACACCGCCCGUCACACCAUGGGAGUGGAAUCUGCCAGAAGUAGGUAGCCUAACCGCAAGGAGGGCGCUUACCACGGUGGGUUUCAUGACUGGGGUGAAGUG